rnacentral:lncRNA from 1 species
AAUGCAACUGAGUGCAAAUGCAGUGUAGUUCUUCCUGUAGCAUCUCCCAAAAGUUUCGUCUGGUGGGGCCCUCAACCUCCCAGCAGCACUUUUGUGCAAUCUGAGCCCUGGGCUGAGGACAGCUCUGUAUCUUACCGGGACACAUCAGAUUGAAUCAGGAUUGACUGCAAAGCUGACACCACGGAGAAUUGCACUCAACGCCAUUCAAGCAAAUGGUGCUUCUGAAUCGGCACCAGCCGGCUGCCCCGAUGCUGAGGUUUUGAUCUGUUAGAUCCAGAGCAGCCUGGUUUGCACUCAUAUCACCACGCUUAAAGAACAGUCACUUAAUCUCACUUAGAAAUGUUUACUCGUGAGGACCAGAUGGCCCAGGGAGUUGGGCUAAACAAAGCAUUUUACUUCUAGGUCACGCAUUCUAAUCCAGUCCAGGUUGGCAAUAAAUGAACAUAUUCACCUGAUAGCCGCUUUUGGCUUCAUUUUUGGUGUUUUUCAGGCUGGUUUCCAAGGGGAGAUGUCACACCACAAAAUCUCCCUCCGUGCCCUGCCACAGUUGGUCCUGAUUUGACUGUCUCUGUGGAGAAGCUGAGGAUCAAAUGCUCCGUGGCGCCAGACUGUUUUCUUUUGCAGCCUGCAGGAACCGCUGCUGACCCUGGUCAGAAGAGGCACGCUGCUCCCUGCGCUGGGGGGGCUGCAGCACCCCUCCUGCCAAGCUGAUGGAUUGCGGCCCCGAUUCUGUGAGCGGAUCGAAAUGACCCCGUGAAAAGCCUGCGGAGAGGCAACUCCAAGGUAAACCCUAAUCAAAGCCUGUACGUGUAAUGUGCAACCAGAGCAAAUGGCUUAAUUAUUUUAAAUUAUUUUAAAAUGGUGUGGUUAGUUUUCCCAUUCUCUCCUCCAAAGACUGACUCAGUCCGAGUUUAGUUAUAACCCCGUUUUAAACCUGUCUGAGGAUGAACAUGUUUCCUCUUAAAUGAAGCUUGCACGGUAUGCCAUAAACUCCUUUUUUUUUUUCUUUCCUUUUUUUUUUUAAAUGGGUGUUUGCACUAAGCC